rnacentral:rRNA from 1 species
GACGAACCGUGCAAACGUUGUUCGGAAUCACUGGGCUUAAAGGGCGCGUAGGCGGACAUUAAAGUCAGGGGUGAAAUCCCUCAGCUCAACUGGGGAACUGCCUUUGAUACUGAAUGUCUCGAGUAAGGUAGGGGCAUGCGGAACUGAUGGUGGAGCGGUGAAAUGUGUUGAUAUCAUCAGGAACUCCGGUGGCGAAAGCGGCAUGCUGGACCUUCACUGACGCUGAGGCGCGAAAGCUAGGGGAGCGAACGGG